rnacentral:rRNA from 1 species
UACGGAGGGGGCUAGCGUUGUUCGGAAUUACUGGGCGUAAAGCGCACGUAGGCGGCUUUGUAAGUUAGAGGUGAAAGCCUGGAGCUCAACUCCAGAACUGCCUUUGAGACUGCAUCGCUUGAAUCCAGGAGAGGUGAGUGGAAUUCCGAGUGUAGAGGUGAAAUUCGUAGAUAUUCGGAAGAACACCAGGUGGCGAAGGCGGCUC